rnacentral:rRNA from 1 species
UACACAUGCAAGUCGAGCGAUGAAGUUUCUUCGGAAAUGGAUUAGCGGCGAACGGGUGAGUAACACGUGAGGAAUCUGCCCUUCACUUUGGAAUAACUCCGGGAAACCGGAGCUAAUACCGGAUAGGAACUCUGGCGGCAUCGCCGGAGUUGGAAAGUUUUUCGGUGAAGGAUGACCUCGCGGCCUAUCAGCUUGUUGGUGAGGUAAUGGCUCACCAAGGCGACGACGGGUAGCCGGCCUGAGAGGGCGACCGGCCACACUGGGACUGAGACACGGCCCAGACUCCUACGGGAGGCAGCAGUGGGGAAUAUUGGGCAAUGGGCGAAAGCCUGACCCAGCGACGCCGCGUGCGGGAUGAAGGCCUUCGGGUUGUAAACCGCUUUCAGCAGGGAAGAAGCGAAAGUGACGGUACCUGAAGAAGAAGCACCGGCUAACUAUGUGCCAGCAGCCGCGGUAAUACAUAGGGUGCAAGCGUUGUCCGGAAUUAUUGGGCGUAAAGAGCUCGUAGGUGGUUCGUUACGUCGGAUGUGAAAACCUGAGGCUCAACCUCAGGCCUGCAUUCGAUACGGGCGAACUUGAGUGUGGUAGGGGAGGCUGGAAUUCCUGGUGUAGCGGUGGAAUGCGCAGAUAUCAGGAGGAACACNAAUGGCGAAGGCAGGCCUCUGGGCCACUACUGACACUGAGGAGCGAAAGCGUGGGGAGCAAACAGGAUUAGAUACC